GGCCACCCAGUGGAUCAGUGCCAGAACCUGGAUCAGAACCCACAUCUCCCAGUCCACUAACUAUUAGACUCAAAUGCUUUUUCUUCCCCAUCUGAAGACUAGAUUUGAUUCUGCUGGAGAUUGAUUUCCCCAUAAAAGUACUGUCGGUAUUUCACCUUUUGAUCAUAUUAUAAAACUGAAAAAUUCUUCUUGUCAAGAUUUUGGAGAAAAGUUUUCAAUGUCCUUCUUGAAGUGUGGACACCAGAAAUGGACACAAUAUUUCAGUAGCGGUUUGGCCAGUGCCAAACAUACAGGUCAUACUAAUGAAGAACAAACUUCUCUUUCUACUGAUAUUUGUGUCUAUUAACGGAUUAAUCCAGAAGCCCGUAAUUCCAUGCCCUGUGGAUGAGAAAAAACCCCAAACCGCAGAGCCCAGUGUUUCGCAGAGAGGGUGUGCUACCUGUUUGAUCAGACACGUCGUCUAAUGCAGAACACUUUGCAGUUCCCUUUGGAGAUAGCAGAUGGUAAUUAAGACAACACGAUUUGCACAUGACCUUGAAGGGCCAGGCAAUGCUUCAGCUUUGCAUGGAAUAUCUUAUGAUCCCCA